AUAAAUAUAAUAAAUGCAAUAGAAAUAUAAUACUUAAGGAGAAGAAGCUUUUGCUGUAUACCUGUUAUAGCCCAAAACCUAAUUCAGCCCACAAAAGCCUCAAAAAAAUAAAAAAAAAUAGAGGAAUUCAAAAUCGGGAAGAAGACUCCCGAUAGGAGUCUUCUUCUCCGGCGAGAUCCGGGUUAGAUCAGGACUCCUAGGACCCCUCGGAGUCCUAGGGCCCCCUAUA
rnacentral:lncRNA from 1 species